CGCGUAGAAAACUGCCCAGUAGUGGGGGAUAGCCCAGAGAAAUUUGGAUUAAUACCGCAUACGCCCUACGGGGGAAAGAAGGGGACCUUCGGGCCUUUCGCGAUUGGAUGUGCCCAAGUGGGAUUAGCUAGUUGGUGAGGUAAAGGCUCACCAAGGCGACGAUCCCUAGCUGGUUUGAGAGGAUGAUCAGCCACACUGGAACUGAGACACGGUCCAGACUCCUACGGGAGGCAGCAGUGGGGAAUAUUGCACAAUGGAGGAAACUCUGAUGCAGCCAUGCCGCGUGUAUGAAGAAGGCCU
rnacentral:rRNA from 1 species